GAACGCUGGCGGCAGGCUUAACACAUGCAAGUCGAGCGCGUAGCAAUACGAUCGGCAGACGGGUGAGUAACGCGUGGGAAUCUACCCAUCACUAGGGAAUAACUCAGGGAAACUUGUGCUAAUACCCUAUACGACCGAGAGGUGAAAGAUUUAUCGGUGAUGGAUGAGCCCGCGUUGGAUUAGCUAGUUGGUGGGGUAAAGGCCUACCAAGGCGACGAUCCAUAGCUGGUCUGAGAGGAUGAUCAGCCACACUGGGACUGAGACACGGCCCAGACUCCUACGGGAGGCAGCAGUGGGGAAUAUUGGACAAUGGGCGCAAGCCUGAUCCAGCCAUGCCGCGUGAGUGAUGAAGGCCUAGGGUUGUAAAGCUCUUUCACCGGUGAAGAUAAUGACGGUAACCGGAGAAGAAGCCCCGGCUAACUUCGUGCACAGCGGGG
rnacentral:rRNA from 2 species